UACGUAGGGUGCAAGCGUUGUCCGGAAUUAUUGGGCGAAAGAGCUCGUAGGCGGUCUGUCGCGUCUGCUGUGAAAAUCCAGGGCUCAACCCUGGACCUGCAGUGGGUACGGGCAGACUAGAGUGCGGUAGGGGAGAUCGGAAUUCCUGGUGUAGCGGUGAAAUGCGCAGAUAUCAGGAGGAACACCGGUGGCGAAGGCGCCACUCUGGGCCGGUACUGACGCUGAGGAGCGAAAGCGUGGGGAGCAAACAGG
rnacentral:rRNA from 1 species